rnacentral:rRNA from 1 species
AGUGAACGCUGGCGGUAGGCCUAACACAUGCAAGUCGAACGGCAGCACAGGAGAGCUUGCUCUCUGGGUGGCGAGUGGCGGACGGGUGAGGAAUACAUCGGAAUCUACUCUGUCGUGGGGGAUAACGUAGGGAAACUUACGCUAAUACCGCAUACGACCUACGGGUGAAAGCAGGGGAUCUUCGGACCUUGCGCGAUUGAAUGAGCCGAUGUCGGAUUAGCUCGUUGGCGGGGUAAAGGCACACCAAGGCGACGAUCCGUAGCUGGUCUGAGAGGAGGACCAACCACACUGGAACUGAGACACGGGCCAGACUCCUACGGGAGGCAGCAGUGGGGAAUAUUGGACAAUGGGCGCAAGCCUGAUCCAGCCAUACCGCGUGGGUGAAGAAGGCUUUCGGGUUGUAAAGCCCUUUUGUUGGGAAAGAAAUCCAGCUGGCUAAUACCCGGUUGGGAUGACGGUACCCAAAGAAUAAGCACCGGCUAACUUCGUGCCAGCCGCCGCGGUAA